UACUACACUGGAAAAAAAUGGAUUUUGGCAUAGGAUUUACUUUGAAACAGUUUUUCUCAGGAAUUGCUAGUACAUUUUUACAAAUGAUUACAAAGAAUCAAAAAUAAUAGGUUAGGAAUUUCUUUGUGAAAGUUGUUUAUAUAUAUAAUAUAAUAUACAGCACUAUUUUGAUUCUGGACUGCUGUUUGCUUUUUGUGACCAACAGAGAUUGUAUUUCAUUUAAUUUGGUACAAAUUACUCAGAAAGCAAUACAGGUGAUGCUAAAUGUACAGUUUAGUAUCUUGUACAUGAUGAAAGUGGAUCUUCUGUUGAUGAGGAGAUGUUUUAUAAGAGGUUUCCCAAACUCUGGUGGCACUUGUCUCCCAUUGGUCAAACAAACAGUCUCAGCGAAUCAGCUGGUGUUUUGGUGAUUUCAGCGGAUGUUAAAGUUUACACUAGCAGAGGAACCACAGAGAGAACAGGAGCAGAGGGAACGUGCACACCGGCUGGGUGAACCUGGGGUCAAAGGUCGGCCGUUUAAUGGGGAGGUUCAAACGUUGCUCAAAGCGGAUAGGAGUGCGAAGGUGUCAUUAAUGCCGAGCAGGAAUGUUCCAAUAAAAACAGCACUUCCUCAUGCAAAGCUGCCCAUAAAAGAGCACAAUAAAUAUCUCAUUAGACUGAUAGCUGCUGGAACUGUGUAUAUAUAGGACGGGGCGAGAUGUCUCAAAAGCGCACGACAACAUCCGCUAACAAGAUACAGUGCGCUCACCCUAUAUGGAUGAACCCAAAAGAUGUCAUAUUUCCAGAGAUGGUGAAAACCCCAAGCAUCUGCAUUGCAAAUGAAGCUUAUUGUUCUUUAUGGGCCAUCUCUCGUUGACUUGUGCGGUGACAUUGCCGGUGGGUGAGAUAUGAAAGGCACGCACCGAUUCUUGUGUGGAGUGAAGAAUGUCUGCAGAUCUGGAAAUCCAACCGCAAAACCGCCAUUACAACACAAGCCUUUCUGUUCAUGAACAAACUCAAGUUGGUGUUGAUUGUGUUUGAAUUAACAUCCAAUCUCAUAUAUUGUCACAGCAGGUUGAUUUUACACUCAUCAAGAGCAAAAAUACAGUAAAAACAGUAAUAUUGUGAAAUGUUAGUACGAUUUAAAAGAACUGUUUUUAUGUAAAUAUAUUUUAUAAUGUAAUUUAUUCCUGUGAUCAAUUCAGAAAUCAUUCUAAUAUGAUGAUUUGUUGCUCAAGAAACAUUUCUGAUUAUUAUCAGUGACUAUAUUUACAUGUGCCUCAAUGUGAUAACUGACGACAUAAAGGGGACCUAUUAUGCCCCUUUUCACAAGAUGUAAUAUAAGUCUCUGGUGUCCCCAGAAUGUGUCUGUGAAGUUUCAGCUCAAAAUACCCCACAGAUCAUUUAUUAUAGCUUGUCAAA